AAUAAAACAUGCAGUUUAAACAUAUAUGACUUAAUUUGGGGAGUUGAAAUCUUUAUUGAAAUGUCAAACUUCCUUAAGUUACACUCUGGAUUGAGGUUAUGCUAACUGCUGUUUUAUUUUUAUUUGUUUUCAGGGUUCAAUAUUCUGCCACCCUUAUCAACAAGAAAUGGGUCAAAUUAAGACCCCUGUCCAGUGUGUGGAUAACCCUAAAGGAUUGGGUGGAAUGAUGAUAUAUGACCGGGAAACAUUCACAGUGAACAAACAACACUUGGUGGCAGUUCUUCUGUCUAGAGGUGAAAAACUCAGACCAGUUCUAUUGUAAUGGCAAGUGAAGACGAUAAAGAUAAAUGCCUCCGAAGACCUUAACAUUUCAAAUAAAGGCCUUUUACCAACAUCUGUGUCUUUCAAGAGGUCUAUAGCUACGGUCUCUUAUGCAUAUAUCCCUUCCUGAAUAAAGGAGCAGGAAACCAGUAAAAUCUGUACCCUGUCUGUC